AUGGGAUACCUAUGGGGUCUCUGUGAGGUCUUUAUGGGAUGUCUAUGCAGUCUCAGUGAGGCCCGGCUCCACGAGGCCGUGUGGCGGCGGCUCCGUCAGCGCUCUCUGUCCUUCCCCACAGGGCUGAUGGCGGCCGUGACGUUGGACGAGUCCGGGGGCGGCCUCCAGACGCCCGGAGGAGCGCUCAGCCUCGUCUGCAAGGCCUCCGGGUUCACCUUCAGCAGUUUCCACAUGGCCUGGGUGCGACUGGAGACCAGCAAAGGGCUGGAAUACGUCGCAAGUAUUAGCAGUGAUGGUAGUGACACAACAUACGGGGCGGCGGUGAAGGGCCGUGCCACCAUCUCGAGGGACAACGGGCAGAGCACAGUGAGGCUGCAGCUGAACAACCUCAGGGCUGAGGACACCGCCACCUACUACUGCACGAAAUGUGCUUACAGUAGUGGUUGUGAUUAUGAAGCUGGUGGUAUCGACGCUGCUCCAGGAUUGACACACAGCUCUGCAUCCCAGGGGGAACCUUCCUGA